rnacentral:lncRNA from 1 species
GCCAGAUUUAUAUAAAUAAAAAAGCAGAUUUUCCCCGUCUCUCUUGGCUGCUGUUGAACAGCAUCAGUUUCAAGACCACACAAGGAGCUGUGUCGACAGCUCAGAAAUGUGCAGGAAAGGCAGAGGUAGGAAGGGUUCAAAGGACCUUGAUAACUUGCUUUGGGCUUCUAAUGCAUGGAGGUUCCCUGUGGACGUUAAGGAGUAGCCCUUUCACUGGGGUGCUAAAAGAGUUAUUUUGAUGUUUUGUUCUGGAAGGACCUUCUUGCAAACUAUGGGGGACUCUUUGAUUCGGAGCAAAGAGGAUAGUUGCUGGGAUGUGAUGAAGGCUCUGAAAGGAAAAAAUAAAUUAACAUCCGGUGGGCUUCUCCUCCUACUCUGCAUACAGGAAGUCUUAAGGAGACCACAGGACACUAUCAGUACUGCCUCCCAACACAUUCUGGAUCCCAAGAACCCUUCCUAUUCCUCUACAGCCUCUAAUAACUUCACUUAAAAUAAAACUCCUAGUUUGGUGUUUCUUGUCUGAAAU